rnacentral:tRNA from 1 species
UACAUUUUGGUGUAUGGUGCACAUGAAUUUUUGAUGUUUGUGGUGUCAGUUUAAUUCUGUCAAAUGUAA